GAUGAACGCUAGCGGCAGGCUUAACACAUGCAAGUCGAGGGGUAUUGGUUUUCGGACCAAGAGACCGGCGCACGGGUGCGUAACGCGUAUGCAAUCUACCUUUUGCAGAGGGAUAGCCCAGAGAAAUUUGGAUUAAUACCUCAUAGUAUAGUACUUUGGCAUCAAGGAACUAUUAAAGUCACAACGGCAAAAGAUGAGCAUGCGUCCCAUUAGCUAGUUGGUAAGGUAACGGCUUACCAAGGCUACGAUGGGUAGGGGUCCUGAGAGGGAGAUCCCCCACACUGGUACUGAGACACGGACCAGACUCCUACGGGAGGCAGCAGUGAGGAAUAUUGGACAAUGGGCGCAAGCCUGAUCCAGCCAUGCCGCGUGCAGGAUGACGGUCCUAUGGAUUGUAAACUGCUUUUAUACAGGAAGAAACACUCCGACGUGUCGAGCUUGACGGUACUGUAAGAAUAAGGAUCGGCUAACUCCGUGCCAGCAG
rnacentral:rRNA from 1 species